rnacentral:rRNA from 1 species
ACGUAGGGUGCAAGCGUUGUCCGGAAUUAUUGGGCGUAAAGAGCUCGUAGGCGGUUCGUCGCGUCGGCUGUGAAAUCCCGAGGCUCAACCUCGGGUCUGCAGUCGAUACGGGCGGACUGGAGUUCGGCAGGGGAGACUGGAAUUCUCGGUGUAGCGGUGAAAUGCGUAGAUAUCGAGAGGAACACCUGCGGCGAAGGCGGGUUGCUGGGCUGACACUGACGCUGAUUGUGCGAAAGCUAGGGGAGCGAACGGGA